GACGAACGCUGGCGGCGUGCCUAAUACAUGCAAGUAGAACGCACAGUUUAUACCGUAGCUUGCUACACCAUAGACUGUGAGUUGCGAACGGGUGAGUAACGCGUAGGUAACCUGCCUGGUAGCGGGGGAUAACUAUUGGAAACGAUAGCUAAUACCGCAUAAUAUUAAUUAUUGCAUGAUAAUUGAUUGAAAGAUGCAACUGCAUCACUACCAGAUGGACCUGCGUUGUAUUAGCUAGUAGGUGAGGUAACGGCUCACCUAGGCGACGAUACAUAGCCGACCUGAGAGGGUGAUCGGCCACACUGGGACUGAGACACGGCCCAGACUCCUACGGGAGGCAGCAGUAGGGAAUCUUCGGCAAUGGACGAAAGUCUGACCGAGCAACGCCGCGUGAGUGAAGAAGGUUUUCGGAUCGUAAAGCUCUGUUGUAAGAGAAGAACGGGUGUGAGAGUGGAAAGUUCACA
rnacentral:rRNA from 1 species